rnacentral:rRNA from 1 species
UACGAAGGGGGCUAGCGUUGCUCGGAAUCACUGGGCGUAAAGCGCACGUAGGCGGAUUGUUAAGUCAGGGGUGAAAUCCUGGAGCUCAACUCCAGAACUGCCUUUGAUACUGGCGAUCUUGAGUCCGGGAGAGGUGAGUGGAACUGCGAGUGUAGAGGUGAAAUUCGUAGAUAUUCGCAAGAACACCAGUGGCGAAGGCGGCUCUCUGGGACGGUACUGACGCUGAGACGCGAAAGCGUGGGGAGCGAACAGG